AUUGGCUGACGAAACUAGGUUCAUGGAUCUUGCAGUUCAUAGUUAAAAUAUAGCUACAUAUUAAAGCAUGUUAGUGAUUUACAAAUUGUGUACUACAUUGGCUGACGAAACUAGGUGCAUGGAUCUUGCAGUACAUAGUAAAAAGGGAUAUCUUCAUAUAGUAUACAUUCUUCAUCUUGAUCAGGUAUAAAAGUUUUGUAUGUUAUGUUUGUUAAUAAUAAUUUUGUUAUAGCUCUCAACUCCUGUGAAUAAUCUUGACUUUUGGACUUGUCUUUUUAUUUCAUUAUUUCAACUUAGCUCCUGAUUUUUUCCUUGAUUGUCAAUUUCCUCAUUGAGCAUUGAACUGAGUUGAAAAAGAUUGAUUUUCUCAAUCUUCAAAAUAUCAAGUUAGUUUUCAUUUUUAUAAGAUACAACGAAUGCGUUAAACAAAAAUCCAAGCACAAACUCUUGAACAUUGGUCAUAUUUCAGUGACUCGAAAGAGUCCACUAUGUUGGACGUUGUUGAAUGUCAAAAUUUGAAAAAGAAAUAUUUUUCAAAAUAAGUUGAUUUUAGAAAUUUGAUCAAACAAGUUAUUAAUGUGUAGAUGUUGUCUGAUGGGAUUGUGGUGUGAAAUUUACCUAAAUUUUUUUCUAAAUAAGUGAUCUUUUACUAAAUUUAUUUGUUGUGUUGUGAGUAUUCACUUUGAUUUUACAAUAUCAUGUUUUGUGUACUUUCUUAUUAUAGUAUUCAGGGUAAUGGUGAGAUUGACGAGGAUGUCACGCAUUGUAUUAGAGCAGGAUGGUUGAAAUGGAG
rnacentral:lncRNA from 1 species